UACGUAGGGGGCAAGCGUUGUCCGGAUUUAUUGGGCGUAAAGAGCGUGUAGGCGGUUUGGUAGGUCCGCUGUGAAAACUCGAGGCUCAACCUCGAGACGCCGGUGGAAACCAUCAGACUAGAGUCCGGAAGAGGAGAGUGGAAUUCCUGGUGUAGCGGUGAAAUGCGCAGAUAUCAGGAAGAACACCCGUGGCGAAGGCGGUUCUCUGGGCCCUACCUGACACUGAGGAGCGAAAGCGUGGGGAGCGAACAGG
rnacentral:rRNA from 1 species